UACGUAGGUGACAAGCGUUUGUCCGGAUUUACUGGGCGUAAAGGGCGCGUAGGCGGCUUUUCAAGUGACGGGUGAAAUCCCUCGGCUUAACCGAGGAACCUGCCUGUCAGACUGGAAGGCUUGAGACCGGGAGAGGUGAGUGGAAUUCCCAGUGUAGCGGUGAAAUGCGUAGAUAUUGGGAGGAACACCAGUGGCGAAGGCGGCUCACUGGACCGGAACUGACGCUGAGGCGCGAAAGCG
rnacentral:rRNA from 1 species